rnacentral:rRNA from 1 species
GUUUGAUCCUAGCUUUGAAUGAAUGCUAGUAAUAUGCAUGACACAUGCUAGUUAAAAAAGAAAUAUAAUUAUAUAUUUCUUUUAGCGUAAGGGUGAGUAAUAUAUAGGAAUUUACACAGUAGACUAAAAAUAAAAUAUUAGAUAUAAUAUACUAUCCAUUAUAGUAUAUUAAAAAGUAUAAUACACUACUGAAAAAGCUUAUACAAGAUUAUGGUAGUUGGUAAAGUAAUAGCCUACCAAGCCUAAGAUCUUUAGCUGGUCUGAGAGGAUGUACAGCCACAUUGGGAAUGAAAAAAGGCCCAAGCUCCAUUUUGGAGGCAGCAGUGAGGAAUAUUGGACAAUGAACUAAAGUUUGAUCCAGCAAUAUUACGUGAGUGAUGACAGCCUACAUGGUUGUAAAGCUCUUUUAUUAAAGAAGAUAAUGACAGUAUUUACAGAAUAAGUCUCGGCUAACUUCGUGCCAGCAGUCGCGGUAAUACGGAGGAGACUGGUGUUAUUCAGCGUUACUGGGUGUAAAGGAUACGUAGGUUGUUUUUUUUAUUAAUUAUUAAAGAUAGAAGCUUAACUUCAAAAAUAUAAUUAAAAUAUUAAAACUUGAGUCAAUAUGAGGAUAGCAGUACCUAUAAAGUAGGGGUGGCAUCUUAAAAUUUUAUAAGGGACUAUCAUUUGCGAAGGCAGCUAUCUACUAUAUGUACUGACACUUAGGUAUAAAAGCAUAGGGAGUGAAAUGGAUUAGAUACCCAAGUAAUCUAUGCUAUGACCGAUGGGUGUUAACUGUUGGAAAAUGGAUUUUCAGUAGUUCAGUAAACACGUUAAACAUCCCACCUGGGAACUACGACCGCAAGGU